rnacentral:rRNA from 1 species
GACGAACGCUGGCGGCGUGCUUAACACAUGCGAGUCGAACGGAAAGGCCCUGCUUUUGUUGGGUGCUCGAGUGGCGAACGGAUGAGUAACACGUGAGUAACCUGCCCUUGACUUUGGGAUAACUUCAGGACACUGGGGCUAAUACCGGAUAGGAGCUCCUGCUGCUUGGUGGGGGUUGGAAAGUUUCGGCGGUUGGGGCUGGACUCGCGGCGUAUCAGCUUGUUGGUGGGGUAGUGGCUGACCAAGGCUUUGACGGGUAGCCGGCCUGAGAGGGUGACCGGCAACAUUGGGACUGAGAUGCGGCGCAGACUCCGACGGGAGGCAGCAGUGGGGAAUAUUGUACAAUGGGCGGAAGCCGGAUGCAGCAACGCCGCGUGCGGGAUGACGGCCUUCGGGUUGUAAACCGCUUUCGCCUGUGACGAAGCGUGAGUGACGGUAAUGGGUAAAGAAGCACCGGCUAACUACGUG